AACGAACGCUGGCGGCAUGCCUAACACAUGCAAGUCGAACGAGACCUUCGGGUCUAGUGGCGCACGUGUGCGUAAGGCGGGGGAACCUGCCCUUAGGUUCGGAAUAACUCCCCGAAAGGGGUGCUAAUAAAGGAUAAUGUCUUCGGACCAAAGAUUUAUCGCUUUUGGAUGGGCCCGCGUUGGAUUAGCUAGUUGGUAGGGUAAAAGCCUACCAAGGCGACGAUGCAUAGCUGGUCGGGGAGGAUGAUCCGCCACACUGGGACUGAGACACGGCCCAGACUCCUACGGGAGGCAGCAGUGGGGAAUAUUGGACAAUGGGCGAAAGCCUGAUCCAGCCAUGCCGCGUGAGUGAUGAAGGCCUUAGGGUUGUAAAGCUCUUUUACCCGGGAUGAUAAUGACAGUACCGGGUGAAUAAGCUCCGGCUAACUCCGUG
rnacentral:rRNA from 1 species